GGUGACUAGCUAAAGAAGGGACACCACUAACGUGCCACUUGUGUAGAUAUUGACGUAUGUAUAUACUGUGUAUAUGUAAAAUUAUAUUUCCUAUUGUUUUACAUUUUAAAAUUUUAGAUUUCAAAUUCUUAGUAGUAUAUCUUUAAACCCAGCUUCAAACUUGGGGGCAUUUGCGUUGAGGACAUUGAGGUUGUUAUACAUUACUUUAUAUUCCCUAUUGAUAAUAAUAUCUACUUAUAUAAUUUUAUUAG
rnacentral:lncRNA from 1 species